AAAAAUCUUCUCUCUCUCUUAGUUUUCUUCAGACGAAUUUUCUCUAGAUUUAAAGCUCCUCUAAUGGCAAUAUUGUAGCAUGUAGUGAAAUAAGAUGAAAGAUAAGAAGGAAAACACAAAAGUUAAUGUGGUCGGCCAAAGAACUAGCCUACAUCCACAUAAGGAUAGAUUUCUUGAAAAACAAAUAUGAGUAGAUCGUAGAUUAUUAGCUCAAAACACCUUUGGAGGUUGAGCUUCGACAUUGGUUUAGUGAGCAUGUUAGUAGCAUUAACCAAGGUUCUAAGAAAGAUGGAUGGCAUUUUGGUUAUCACAGUAGAUUUUAACUACUAUUUGUAUGAUACCAAAGUCCUUUGUCAAGCCUUUAAGCCACAAUGCCCCUUUGAUUGCUUCUGUUAAGGCUAUGUAUUCAGCCUCUAUAGUUGAUAGGGCCACUGUAGAUUGUAGAGUAACCCUCCAACUUAUUAGUUUUGGUUUAAAUAGAAAUGCAUAACCAGUUAGAGACCUCAUAUUGUCUAUGUCUCCUACAAAAUCAGAGUCUACAUAGCCAAUUAACUAUAAAUCUAGUAAUGUCAAUAUUGGCUCACCCUAGUCGUUCAUGUCAAAUUCUUUACUUAAAAUAAAUUUAACAUGAGCUAGAUCAGCUUUAGAGUUCCCUACAAGGAGCAUAUCAUCAACAUACAGCAGUAGCUAGACUUUAUCCCUGUAGAAUGUUGAGUUGAAUAGGCAUACAUGUCAUAAGAACUCCUCUUAAAGCCCAAGCUUGUUAUGUAAUCAUUGAACCUCCUAUACCAGCAUCUAGGAGAUUAUUUUAGCUUAUAGAUUGACUUCUUUAAAAGACAAUAAAAGUCUUCCUUCUUCUUAGCUUCAAACCCUUUCAAUUGUUUCAUAUAAAUGGUCUCAUCCAAGUCAAGGUCAUGUUGAGUAACUAAGGAUACAAGAAGUCUUACUGAAGUUUAUUUCACCACAGGAAAGAAAAAUCUCAGAAUAGUCUAUGCCUUGUCUUUGAAUGAAGCCUUUUACAACCAACCUUACUUUGUAUCUAGGCUUUUGGUCUUUAGUGAUUCCUUCUUUCAAUUUAUAAAUCCACUUAGAUGCAAUGUGUUUGCAUCCUUUUGGUAGGGAUGCUAGGGACCAUGUGUCAUUCACAUUAAAGUGUAUUUCUUCAUUCAUAACUUCUAUCCACUGUCUAGAAUCAGAACCACUCACUGCCUCUUCAAAGGUGGAUGGUUCUUGAUUAAUAUAGGCCACAGUGGCAUUCAACACUAGACUCAUAUAGUUAGUGUCUGUAUAUCUAGCUAGAGGUAUGAUCACUUUCCUCUGUCUGUCCCUAGCUAAAGAAUAUUGACUCAAAUUAGGUUGAGCUUCAACAUUUUCAACUUUUUCCCUUGAUGUAUCCUCUACCUCAUCUGAACCAUUGAUAUGUGUUGGGUUGUAUGUCCUAAAACUCGCAAUUAGUAAAGUUAAACAUUUUUUGUUAUCAA